GACGAACGCUGGCGGCGUGCCUAACACAUGCAAGUCGAACGGGGCUCUUUGGAUCGAGACUUCGGUCAAGUGAAUCUGAGCUUAGUGGCGGACGGGUGAGUAACGCGUGAGCAACCUGCCUUUCAGAGGGGGACAACAGUUGGAAACGACUGCUAAUACCGCAUAAGCCCACAGCUCCGCAUGGAGCAGGGGGAAAAGGAGUGAUCCGCUUUGAGAUGGCCUCGCGUCCGAUUAGCUAGUUGGUGAGGUAACGGCCCACCAAGGCGACGAUCGGUAGCCGGACUGAGAGGUUGAUCGGCCACAUUGGGACUGAGACACGGCCCAG
rnacentral:rRNA from 1 species